rnacentral:rRNA from 1 species
GCAUAGCCAUAAAUUUUGAUAAAAAUAUACAAUUUUAUCCGCCAGGGGACUACAAGCAUUAGCUUAAAACCCAAAGGACUUGGCGGUGCUUCAGACCCACCUAGAGGAGCCUGUUCUAUAACCGAUAACCCCCGCUUAACCUCACCAGCCCUUGUUCAUCCCGCCUAUAUACCACCGUCGCCAGCUUAUCCUGUGAAGGUCCUAUAAUAAGCAAAAUGGGUAAAACCCAAAACGUCAGGUCGAGGUGUAGCGCAUGAGCUGGGAAGAAAUGGGCUACAUUUUCUGACUCAGAAUAUACGAACUGCACUGUGAAACCAGUGUCCAAAGGUGGAUUUAGCAGUAAACAGAAAAUAGAGUGUUCUCUUGAAACUGGCUCUGAAGCGCGC